GCCAGAGUGAUGAAAUUGGUAGACAUGACGGAUUCAAAAUCCGUUGCUAGAAAUAGCGUGCCGGUUCAAGUCCGGCCUCUGGUACCA
rnacentral:tRNA from 27 species